rnacentral:SRP_RNA from 1 species
GCCGGGCGCGGUGGCGCGUGCCUGUAGUCCCAGCUACCGGGGAGGCUGAGGCUGGAGGAUCGCUUGAGCCCAGGAGUUCUGGGCUGCAGUGCGCUGUGCCGAUCGGGUGUCCGCACUAAGUUCGGCAUCAAUAUGGUGACCUCCCGGGAGCGGGGGGCCACCAGGUUGCCUCAGGAGGGGGGAACCGGCCCAGGUCGGAAACGGAGCAGGUCAAAACUCCCGUGCUGAUCAGUAGUGGGAUCGCGCCUGUGAAUAGCCACUGCGCUCCAGCCUGGGCAACAUAGCGAGACCCUGUCUCUU